AAUCAACGCUGGCGGCGUGCCUAACACAUGCAAGUCGAACGAGAAAGGGUAGCAAUACCUGAGUAAAGUGGCGCACGGGUGAGUAACACGUGACUAACCUACCCUGGAGUGGGGGAUAACUGAGGGAAACCUUAGCUAAUACCGCAUAAUACCUACGGGUCAAAGGAGCAAUUCGCUUCAGGAGGGGGUCGCGGCCGAUUAGUUAGUUGGCGGGGUAAUGGCCCACCAAGACAGUGAUCGGUAUCCGGCCUGAGAGGGCGCACGGACACACUGGAACUGAAACACGGUCCAGACUCCUACGGGAGGCAGCAGUGGGGAAUUUUGCGCAAUGGGGGAAACCCUGACGCAGCAACGCCGCGUGGAGGAUGAAGUACUUCGGUACGUAAACUCCUUUCGAUCGGGACGAUAAUGACGGUACCGGAAGAAGAAGCCCCGGCUAACUUCGUGCCAGCAGCCGCGGUAAUACGAGGGGGGCAAGCGUUGUUCGGAAUUAUUGGGCGUAAAGGGUGCGUAGGCGGUUUGGUAAGUCUUUUGUGAAAUCUAUGGGCUCAACUCAUAGACUGCAAGGGAAACUGCCGGGCUUGAGUAUGGGAGAGGUGAGUGGAAUUCCUGGUGUAGCGGUGAAAUGCGUAGAUAUCAGGAGGAACACCUGUGGCGAAAGCGGCUCACUGGACCAUAACUGACGCUGAUGCACGAAAGCUAGGGGAGCAAACAGGAUUAGAUACCCUGGUAGUCCUAGCCCUAAACGAUGACUGCUUGGUGUGACGGGUACCCAAUCCCGCCGUGCCGUAGCUAACGCGUGAAGUCGACCGCCUGGGGAGUACGGCCGCAAGGUUG
rnacentral:rRNA from 1 species